CCAAGCAAUUGAACUGGUGUGAACCGGUUGAAUCGGCCAGUUUUUGUGUGAGCAGGUGAACCGGUACCGGUUUGACUGAACCGGGCGGGUCUGAGUAAGGACACAAAUUACCCCACGAUGUGCUCCAUUUGCUGUUGUGAACUAAGGGGCAGUAUGGGAAUUAAGCGAUGGAAGGGUCCAAAUGCAGAAAUUAGGCAGGCUCACUGCACAGCCGCCGCUGCCGUUUUCUCUCAGAUUAUCUGGAUCUCGGACCUCGAUGGCUCGGCAUCGGCUCUAGGAAGAGAAAGCUUGAACCUUGAAGAGGCAUUGGAGGAAGAGAAUCCAUAUGGUCCUGGUGUACAGCAACAAGGAGCUGCAGAACGAUCUGCAGAUGUUGCUUGCAUUCCACCUCCCGGUACUCGUGCAAAUACCAAGGCCAAACAAUCUGCAACUUCAAGCAAAGAUGCCCCGGAAGUAGGGAAGUUCUUCAUGCCUAGCACCAAUCCAGGAUACCAACCUACAAAUUUGAAUUGUGCUCCAGAAUGAAAAGACAAGGAAACAGAGUUGAUUUCAUACUGAACAAAUGGUUCAUUGAUGCAUCUGUUCCAUUUCAUGCAACGACUUCCAAGUA